GAUGAAGAACGCAGCGAAAUGCGAUAAGUAAUGUGAAUUGCAGAAUUCAGUGAAUCAUCGAGUUUUUGAACGCAUAUUGCGCCCUCUGGUAUUCCGGGGGGCAUGCCUGUUCGAGCGUCAUUAAAUAACCCUCAAGCAUAGCUUGGUGUUGGGCUUUUUUACGUCCUUGACUGGGAUGGGCCUAAAAAUUAGUGGCGAUGGCUUUUUUACUUUCAAGCGUAGUAAAUCUCGUCUUGCUAAAGAGGAAAAAGAUUUUUUUUCUGCCAAAAAUUUUAACAUUUAAAGUUGACCUCGGAUCAGGUAGGAUUACCCGCUGAACUUAAGCAUAUCAAUAACGGAGGA
rnacentral:misc_RNA from 1 species